rnacentral:rRNA from 1 species
CUGAGAGGGCGACCCGGCCACAUUGGGACUGAGACACGGCCCAAACUCCUACGGGAGGCAGCAGUGGGGAAUAUUGCCAAUGGGGGAAACCCUGAUGCAGCGACGCCGCGUGAAGGAUGAAGUAUUUCGGUAUGUAAACUUCUAUCAGCAAGGAAGAAAAUGACGGUACCUGACUAAGAAGCCCCCGCUAACUACGUGCCAGCAGC